CCAACCAACCAACCAACCAACCAACCAACCAACCAAUCAAUCAAUCAAUGCAUGUUUCCGUUUCAUGCGUUAAAUACGGGAUCCAAUUUUGAGCCUAUCCAACGUGUUUAAGCAACAUGUUUAAGCAACGUGUUUAACCAACCAACCAACCAACCAACUAAUCAACCAAUCAAUCAAUCAAUCAAUCAAUCAAUCAAUCAAUCAAUCAAUCAAUCAAUCAUGAUCAUGAUCAAUAAAUCAUGUUUCAUGAAAAAUCGAAAUUUAAUAUUGUUCUUGCGUCACUUCUGAAAAAAAAAUCCACAUGUACUCUGAAACUACAAAUACAAUCGACCUCAAAAUUUGCAGUCAGCAGGGCAUACAUGUACUAAAAGUUUAUAAAAAAACUUGGUGCAGAUAUCUCUCAAAGCUUUUCCUAGAGAAAAGAAAUUGCAAUGCCGUAAAAAUUGCUUGCUAGGUCCGUAAAUUUCAGUAAAAGCCUACAAUAAAAUGUCCGCUCCGAGAUUGAAAUACUAAUCUGUGUUACAAACAGGUGCUGAAAAAUGUACAUUAUCAGAAAAUAAUCAAUAAAUGUGUUUUAAAGUUACACCGGAUCAAAUAAAUCCAAAUCAUGCACUGCUUGUGAACUGUCAUCAAAAUGUCAAUUUCCUACAAUGACAAAAGAAAUUACAUUGUGUGCAUUCCGUCUCUAUACAUGUUGUCUGUUCAAAGUCCCCACCUAAAAAGGAAUAAAAAGACUAUCUUUUCGUUAUUAUAAACCCGUGUCACGUGAUGUGGCGCGCGCGCUGUACCUAAAAUAAAAGAAAAACUUUCCAAACUAAACAUGAAACUUCUCCGGUAACAAUAAUAUAGACCCCAUACAGAAACAAACAAACAAACAAACAAACAAACAAACCCCCCCCCCCCCAAUUCAAUUAAUUUUAAAGGGGGAAAGACCCCCUACAAUUGCUUUUUUAAAGCAAUUGAUUUAUAUUGUAAAAAACCUUUUUAACCAUUCUGUUCCGUUAAUAAAAAAAAAAAAAAAUCUCCCCGAGACCCCCUUUUGCCCCCCCCUUUUUUUUUAACCCUCCACUUACAACUGAAUGUAGGUUGUGUGCUAUCUAUCCUAUCAACGUAAAACGAACGACAACUCCAGUUUUUUCCAUAUUAUUAGGUCUUUCCACUUUUCUGUGGAAAGCCUAUUGUAUUUGUUCUGAUUAUUAUUACUUUUCUUUAUUAUUUGUUUAUUAUUUUUUUUUUUUUUUUUUUUUCUUCCGCCAAAUUUUGUUCUUGCGAUAAAUGUUUGUUUCGCAAUAUGUCGCUUAGAUUUUUUUCAUAUUGUAUCGUAUAGUUUAUGCGCUUUUAAAUUUCACCCUGCUAAGCCGAACCAUUUUCUUUGUAAGAGUUAUCUCCCUAUUCACUGUUUGUCAUGUGUGUGCAUCUCCUUCGUAACAAAAUAAGAAAGCGACAAAAUUCUUUUUACAAAUUGUUCGUUACAUCCUCAGGAAUUUUUGGCUAAUUUGGAUCGAAGCGAUUCGAUGAAAUUUUAUAGGAGUUAUGUACCUUUACGGAAUAAAUUUGUCGGUAUGUUUUUUUAACUCAUAAACCGUUAACCGUAUAACCCUGGAAUGUUUUUAUUUGAGUCCCCUGGGUCCUAACUUAGAAAAUUAGGUCAAGGUCAAAGGUCAAGGUCAUAUUUUAGAUUUUCAUAUCGCUUUGAUUUCCCUAUAAUUCUUGAAUGGUUAUAGAUACAAAAAA
rnacentral:lncRNA from 1 species